CUGAUUUAUUUUCCUCGAUACAAUGCUCUCAUUCUUAUUAACCAUAAUCUUGCUUCAAACACUAAUGAAAUCAUCUUCCAUUGCCAAUUUUCUCACACGUUUGAUAAUUAAUUCCUAACACUCAAAGCUAUUAUCACUCCUCGGUAGCGGUGCCAAAAUGUGAUGACUCGUUUUAUUUAUUCUAAAUUAAUCUAAUAGGAAUAAAUCCGUAUAGGAGGAUUUGAACACAGAGAAUGACUAAUUGCUUAAGCAUUCACGUUAGGGUCACACAAUCAAUUACCUCCUGAAUGUAUCAUCUCUAUUUCCAAUAUCUAAACACACAAGGAAACUAUAAUCUCCUCCUUCACCUUAUCGGUCUCUUUGUUACAACAAUUGAGUCAUACCAAUAACUGCUAUUUCUACCCAUAUAUUCACCCUCAUAAUCUCCGACUAUAAUA
rnacentral:lncRNA from 1 species